rnacentral:rRNA from 1 species
ACGACGCUGGCGGCGUGCUUAACACAUGCAAGUCGAACGAUGAAGCUCCCGCUUGCGGGAGUGGAUUAGUGGCGAACGGGUGAGUAACACGUGAGCAACCUGCCCCUGACUCUGGGAUAACAGUUGGAAACAGCUGCUAAUACCGGAUACGCACCAUAGAGGCAUCUUUUGUGGUGGGAAAGAUUUUUCGGUUGGGGAUGGGCUCGCGGCCUAUCAGCUUGUUGGUGAGGUAAUGGCUCACCAAGGCGUCGACGGGUAGCCGGCCUGAGAGGGUGAC